CCUACGGGUGGCAGCAGUGGGGAAUAUUGCACAAUGGGCGAAAGCCUGAUGCAGCAACGCCGCGUGAGCGAUGAAGGCCUUCGGGUCGUAAAGCUCUGUCCUCAAGGAAGAAAAUGACGGUACCUGACUAAGAAUCCCCGGCUAACUACGUGCCAGCAGCCGCGGUAAUACGUAGGGGGCAAGCGUUAUCCGGAUUUACUGGGUGUAAAGGGAGCGUAGGCGGUUUAGCAAGUCAGAAGUGAAAGCCCGGGGCUCAACCCGGGGCCUGCUUUUGAAACUGUUGAACUAGAUUGCAGGAGAGGUAAGUGGAAUUCCUAGUGUAGCGGUGAAAUGCGUAGAUAUUAGGAGGAACACCAGUGGCGAAGGCGGCUUACUGGACUGUAAAUGACGCUGAGGCUCGAAAGCGUGGGGAGCAAACAGGAUUAGAUACCCUUGUAGUC
rnacentral:rRNA from 1 species